rnacentral:rRNA from 1 species
GGGCGCGUGAGGAACCUGCCUCAAAGAGGGGGACAAAGGGGGGAANGACUGCUAAUACCGCAUAAGCCCACGACCCGGCAUCGGGUUGAGGGAAAAGGAGCAAUCCGCUUUGAGAUGGCCUCGCGUCCGAUUAGCUAGUUGGUGAGGUAAUGGCCCACCAAGGCAACGAUCGGUAGCCGGACUGAGAGGUUGAACGGCCACAUUGGGACUGAGACACGGCCCAGACUCCUACGGGAGGCAGCAGUGGGGAAUAUUGCACAAUGGGGGAAACCCUGAUGCAGCGACGCCGCGUGGAGGAAGAAGGUCUUCGGAUUGUAAACUCCUGUUGUUGAGGAAGAUAAGGACGGUACUCAACAAGGAAGUGACGGCUAACUNCNUGCCAGCAGCCGCGGUAAAACGUAGGUCACAAGCAUUGUCCGGAAUUACUGGGUGUAAAGGGAGCGCAGGCGGGAAGACAAGUUGGAAGUGAAAUCUAUGGGCUCAACCCAUAAACUGCUUUCAAAACUGUUUUUCUUGAGUAGUGCAGAGGUAGGCGGAAUUCCCGGUGUAGCGGUGGAAUGCGUAGAUAUCGGGAGGAACACCAGUGGCGAAGGCGGCCUACUGGGCACCAACUGACGCUGAGGCUCGAAAGUGUGGGUAGCAAACAGGAUUAGAUACCCUGGUAGUCCACACCGUAAACGAUGAUUACUAGGUGU